rnacentral:rRNA from 1 species
GAUGAACGCUGGCGGCGUGCAUAACACAUUCAAGUCGAACGGACAAGGGACUUCGGUCCUGCGUUAGUGGCGAACGGGUGAGUAACGCGUGAGGAACCUGCCUUUCAGUGGGGGACAACAGUUGGAAACGACUGCUAAUACCGCAUAAUGUUAUCGAGCGGCAUCGCUUGAUAACCAAAGCUUUAUGUGCUGAAAGAUGGCCUCGCGUCUGAUUAGAUAGUUGGUGGGGUAACGGCCUACCAAGUCAACGAUCAGUAGCCGGUCUGAGAGGAUGAACGGCCACAUUGGGACUGAGAUACGGCCCAGACUCCUACGGGAGGCAGCAGUGGGGAAUAUUGGGCAAUGGGGGAAACCCUGACCCAGCAACGCCGCGUGAAGGAAGAAGGCCUUCGGGUUGUAAACUUCUUUUACCAGGGACGAAGAACGUGACGGUACCUGGAGAAAAAGCAACGGCUAACUACGUG